rnacentral:rRNA from 1 species
UUCUGACCUCGAAUCAGGUGGGACUACCCGCUGAACUUAAGCAUAUCAAUAAGCGGAGGAAAAGAAACUAACAAGGAUUCCCUUAGUAACUGCGAGUGAAGUGGGAUGAGCUCAAAUUUAAAAUCUGGUAGUCUCUGGCUGCCCGAGUUGUAAUCUAGAGAAGU